GUCCUAGCUGUAAACGAUGGACACUAGGUGUUGGUGGUAUCAACCCCGCCAGUGCCGAAGCUAACGCAUUAAGUGUCCCGCCUGGGGAGUACGGCCGCAAGGCUAAAACUCAAAGGAAUUGACGGGGCCCCCGCACAAGCAGCGGAGCGUGGGGUUUAAUUCGACGCGACGCGAAGAACCUUACCAAGGCUUGACAUGGUCGAGACACCGGCGGAAACGUCGGCUCCCCGCAAGGGGCUCGAUCACAGGUGUUGCAUGGCUGUCGU
rnacentral:rRNA from 1 species